UUUACCCACCUGACAUGUUUCACAUGUAUUGGUGAUUAAUUAUAUCAUUUGUCAUGUCAUCAAUAAAUUGUAAUUUUUAGUUUUUAUCCACAUCAUUGUUUAUAAUUGUAUAUUUAUCCCAAUUUCAAUUUUUUUCAUUUUUUCAUCUUGAGUCUAAAAAAAAACAUCUUUUAUUAUCUCUAAAAAGAAGAAUUAGAAAGAAGAAAGCCAUCUACAUAACUCCGAUCAACCACCGCUUUCUACGCCUCUGCUUUUUCCGUCGAAAUUGAAGAUACUCUCCAUUCUCUUCUGAAUCUCACGUUUCUACUCGUUUUCCACUCUUAAUUUUGUUCUAUCUCUACGAUGUCUAUUAACGCCCCCAACUGCCGCCGCUCAAAUGACAUUCAUCACUGACCUCAUUUCAGAUUUCACCAUCUUCUCUGUUUUGUUAAGUAUUCUCUUUCUUAAAUAAUUUUUCAAUUUCACAAUUUUUUUUUAUUUUCUUUUCUGUUUCAUAAUUUUAGGGUUUUUAUGCUUUUUUUGUGUUAGCUAAAAGUUGUGUUUAGCUUGUAAUUGUGUAAAAUUGUGUAUUAAUUAUAUGUUCUCUUCAUGGGUCUGUAGUAAUUUUGGGGUUUUAUGUGAUAUUACUGUGAAGGUUGGGUUUGGUUUAUCAUUCUUCAUGUGAGUUUCGAAUGUCAUCAUUGUAUUUGGCGUGGGAUGGUGAUUCUUUAUGAUUUCAGAAUUUUUAUCAGUUUGAGCUUGUUAAUUUUGAGAAAUGUAAUGAAUUUUGGUGAUAAAGAAGUGACUAAAUCCUUAAUAUUUUGUCUAAUGUUUUGAUGAAUUAAUAACUAUAAUUUCUGUAUGCCAUCAUUGUAGCCGAGAGUGCAUUCCUCUUGGGCUUCAAGAGCAGAGAAUAAUGUAUCCAAAAAUGGUCAUGUGGGUUAAAAGAAAGUGAUUUAAUUACAUCUUCUGCAAGAAAAAUUAAAUUUGUGGCCAUCGGUUCUAGUAUUGGUCAAGUUGUUUGCGAAUGAAAGUCUAUUUCUUGAAUGUCAAAUUCUUUGAGCAAGCGCUGUGAAACAGUUUUCUUGCCUGGUAGAAAGUUAUGCUGAAGCCAUCAUACUGGAUCAUGUGAAUUAGAAGUGUAUUGAUACUUUAUUCCAAAUACUAAAAUCUCCAUCUGAUAAAAAGAAAAUUGUUUCUGCUAUGGGAAUAAUCUGCUAUCUUCCAAAAAUUCAAUCACAUAGUGGCUUUUGGAUGCCGGGCCACUGCCAAUCAUUUGUAAAAAGUAAGCUGGUAGAGGUAAGCUGGUAGAGAAUUAUGUUGGUGCCUUGUAUCAUUUUCCAGUUCCAACAAUUUGGAAUGGCAAAAGAGAAGGACAAAGAUCUCCUAAAUAGGAAGUUGGUAGAGAAUUAUGUUGGUGCUUUAUGUCUUUUUAAGGUUCCAACAAACUUAGAAUGGCAAAAGAGAAAGACAAAUAUCUCCUAAAUAAUAAGCUGGUAGAGAAUUUUGUUGA